CCAAAGGUGCUAAUCAACAUUAGUUCAACCGUUACCAUGUUUACCCAACCAAAGGUGCUAAUCAACAUUAGUUCAACCGUUACCAUGUUUACCCAACCAAAGGUGCUAAUCAACAUUAGUUCAACCGUUACCAUGUUUACCCAACCAAAGGUGCUAAUCAACAUUAGUUCAACCGUUGUCAUGUUUACCCAACCAAAGGUGCUAAUCAACAUUAGUUCAACCGUUGCCAUGUUUACCCAACCAAAGGUGCUAAUCAACAUUAGUUCAACCGUUGCCAUGUUUACCCAACCAAAGGUGCUAAUCAACAUUAGUUCAACCGUUACCAUGUAUACCCAACAGCCUGAAUGGUUUAGGUCCUACAAAGCAGUU